rnacentral:piRNA from 2 species
AGCUUGCUCCGUCCACUCCACGC